rnacentral:lncRNA from 1 species
CAUGUGUAAAAGGAAGCUUCCUGCCUAAUAUGACUUGGGAUAUUGCUGCCUUCAUUCAAGUUCAUGACAAAUAAUGGGACCUAAGUGCUCAGGAAGUACCAAUCUCUUCCUGUUUGUUUUGCACAAUACAGAGGUAUGAUGCUGGACAGCGCAUGAAACGAUAGCAGACUCCCUUUGGGGUCUGAAAACAGAAACAACAAAAACCUCUGGGAGUUCCCGCUGUACUGCAGUCGAAAUGAAUCCAACUGAUAUGCAUGAGGAUGCAGAUUUGAUCCCUGGCCUCGCUCAAUAGGUUAAGGAUCCAGCGUUGCCCUGGGCUGUGGUACAGGUCACAGAGGCAGCUCGGAUCCCACGUGGCUGGGGCUGUGGUGUAGGCUGGCAGCUGUAGCUCCAAUUCUACCCCUAACCUGGGAACUUCCAUAUGCUAACUGAGGUCGUUUCAAGAGCGAUGUGAGAGAGCAAUAGCACACAACUGCUAUGGGGAAGCCCAGAGUCUCUGAACACAGAGGCUCAACUUCAGAAAAGCUCCUGGAGAAACUGUGAUCGCAUUGUGGUUAUCUGGACACCUCCACAUGGAAACAGCAAUGAUACGGUUUUAAGGCAGAAAAAGGGUUUCCAAAAGAGAAAGAGCAUAGUCAAUGCUCCUGCAUGGUCACAAACCAUUUCUGACAAAGGUCUCUGGUGUACUAGAUGCAGUCUGGCUUUCUUUUAGAUGACCAAGUUAGGAUACGGGGCCUAAACAUUGUGAAUAGUAUUGUCAAUGCAUGAAUUAACAACACAUUUUAGAAAUCACUUAGCCCAAUUAUCUCUAAACCAUGUUCAAGAUGAGAUUUGAGAAUGAUAAUAUGUGAGGCACUGGGAACAUCUGAUUGGAAAAUACUUUCUAAUUUUCUCUUUAUGACUAAGUUACACAAGAAUAGUAUUUACUCACUGCUAUGAUGAAGCUGAAUUUCAGCCACUGAAAACUCCUACAAUUAGAAACAAAUAUGAUUUAUGAAGUCUUUCUAAUAAUAAACUGCUUGAUGGGUUGAUAAACCACCAACAUUCAGUAUCUUUAGAUAUAUUUUUAAAAACUCAAACAUCACAUCCCUGGAAUGAAUAAAGCAAAACUCAAAGCUGGUUUCCUCUCUAGUCUUGUUCUCCUCGUUUCUGAGUUAAGAAUAUCCACAUCACAGGCCAAGAAGCCAACGAAAUGCCCCAGCUCUUGGACCAUAGAAAGAUUCAGUACCUCAGGUCCAAAUGGCUAUUCCAAUUAAUAUCACCAAAACAUACUAGAGGUUGGAAGUCACAUGAUUUUUUUUUUAAUAGAUAACACCUGGUCUCAUCAUUACAAAACUUCAAGCCAAAAAAAGAGAUUUUUAGGUCAGGAUUGGAGAAAAACUUGCUAAAUAUUUACAUACCAUACCUGUCCCCCUGUCCCCUUCCUGGUACGUUUUCCUAGAAUAAAUAAAUACCCAUUUCAUAGGAGCUUUUUAAAGGCUUCCUGUAUUAGCAGAUGAAUGGUGAACUGAACCUUACUGAUGGGUCUGACUUCCAAGAUAAAUCUGAAUAGAAAGAUGACCAGAUGACCGUCUUCUAAGUGCUUCCUUCACAUCCACGGAGUCAGUGAGACAGGGUUAUAUUUGCAAGAGGGUCUUUGUACCACUUUGGUUGUGCUCUUAACAUCCCAAUGCACAUACAGCUGUAGCUCCCUUUAUUCUUCCUUUAGUAUGAGUGUGUGUAAAUACAUAUCCUCAAAUCAACUACAUGGUUUUCUGACUGUUCUAUAUCCAAGAGAUAUCUUCUUGUAUUUUGAUAUUCAUUUAAUUACGACAUGCAAUUUACAAUGUUUGAACUACUACAGGACACAAAACACAGUUCUAUCCGGUUCUCUACUACUUCUAGGGUAAGGACUGACUUCGGCCCUUGCAAGGGACAAUAGCUGGAUGCCUCAACUUCACAGACAACUCCACAGUGACUUCACUUAAAGCCCAAAAGCACAUUUUCAGUUAGUGUGUACUCAGAGAAAUAGGCUUCCAGAUAAAAAUGUGCUUUUCCUCUUACUAUCUACCCACAGAAGCAUGCUGUUCCCUUCGGGAGAAGCAUGCUGUUUCCGCCGGGAGGGGAG